UUAAAUUGAGAGUUUGAUCCUGGCUCAGGAUGAACGCUGGCGGCGUGCUUAACACAUGCAAGUCGAGCGAUGAAGUUUCCUUCGGGAAACGGAUUAGCGGCGGACGGGUGAGUAACACGUGGGUAACCUGCCUCAUAGAGUGGAAUAGCCUUCCGAAAGGAAGAUUAAUACCGCAUAAUGUUGAAAGAUGGCAUCAUCAUUCAACCAAAGGAGCAAUCCGCUAUGAGAUGGACCCGCGGCGCAUUAGCUAGUUGGUGGGGUAACGGCCUACCAAGGCGACGAUGCGUAGCCGACCUGAGAGGGUGAUCGGCCACAUUGGGACUGAGACACGGCCCAGACUCCUACGGGAGGCAGCAGUGGGGAAUAUUGCACAAUGGGGGAAA
rnacentral:rRNA from 1 species